rnacentral:rRNA from 1 species
AUGAAUACCAACACAAGGUUUUCACCUAACCUUAUCACUACAGCCAGUCUGCUCCUCUCCCUCUACUCAUCUCCCCGCCGCGUCGCCCCCGGCCUCCGCCCUCACCCCCACAGCCACCACAAAUCGACGACCUCGUUUCCCAUGCGCCCCUUCUCAUCCCCUUCCCCGGUUCAUCGGAGAGGAAAAUUGGCAGGUCGAGCGACCAGAUCCGCCCACAUCUGGCCCCGUUGCAACUGGCGACGACCGCGGUGUUGGCGGGCGGCGCCAACACGCCGCUCUCGGCCGUGGAGCUGCUCCCGCCGGGCCACCCGAGCCCGUCCGUCGCCUGCUCGCGUCCCGCAGUGUCUUCUCCGAACACACAGCCGACGGCGGUACGUGCUUCUGCUGGCGUGGCCACGGCUCCACGAGGCCGUGCUCGACCCCGCCGGUGCCGAGCCCUUCGCGCGCGCCCACGCCGGCCUCCCUGCCUACGCCUACUAUGGCCAGGACCGGGAGGCGAACGAGGUGAUGCUCAGGGCCGUGACCGGCGUGUCGGAGCCGUUCAUGGAGGUGCCGCUGGACGGGUACUUCCCCGGUGGAGGGAUUGAGGGCGUGGCCAUGCUCGUCGACGUCGGUGGCAGCUCCGGCGCCUUCCUCGCGAUGAUCAUGAGCAGGGUGCCCACCAUCCGCCAGGGACUCAACUUCGACCUGCCAGACGUCGUCGCCGCCGCGCGCUCCCAUCUCUGUGGUCAUGUGAUGUUAGUAAUCUUGUACGUACUAUACGGUGGGUACUUAACUGCAGUCGUCGUCACCGACAGUAAUCUAGAGACGAGUUUGAUAAUGAGGUUUCAGAGCAUACUUGGGGUAAACUAUGCAUAA